rnacentral:rRNA from 1 species
AGAGUUUGAUCCUGGCUCAGAACGAACGCUGGCGGCAUGCCUAACACAUGCAAGUCGAACGAGACCUUCGGGUCUAGUGGCGCACGGGUGCGUAACGCGUGGGAAUCUGCCCUCUGGUACGGAAUAACUCAGGGAAACUUGAGCUAAUACCGUAUAAUGACUUCGGUCCAAAGAUUUAUCGCCUGAGGAUGAGCCCGCGUAGGAUUAGCUUGUUGGUGAGGUAAAAGCUCACCAAGGCGACGAUCCUUAGCUGGUCUGAGAGGAUGAUCAGCCACACUGGGACUGAGACACGGCCCAGACUCCUACGGGAGGCAGCAGUGGGGAAUAUUGGACAAUGGGCGAAAGCCUGAUCCAGCAAUGCCGCGUGAGUGAUGAAGGCCCUAGGGUUGUAAAGCUCUUUUACCCGGGAUGAUAA